UUGAAGAAUUUAAAGACUUUCAACUUGUAGACUUGAAGAAUUUGAAGACUUCAACUUGCAGACUUAAAGAAUUUGAAGACCUCAACU
rnacentral:pre_miRNA from 1 species